AUCGGUUCUCCUCGUGGAGAUUAAUAGGGAAUCGGGUGAGAGUCCUGAACAGUCCCGCUGCUGUGAGUCGUCCUUAGUGAGGCGCAAACAUGUAUGUCACUGAGAUUAUUGGGAAGACGUUUGUGGCCAGACGACGAGUCAGAAUACCUGCCGACGAAGA
rnacentral:ncRNA from 1 species